UGAUAUACAUGCUUGCGUGCGACGCUAUU
rnacentral:piRNA from 1 species